GGGUCUUGGGAGGCGGUCUAAAGCCUUUGAAAUCGGAAAAGACAGAGCGCGAGCGAGCCGUCAGAGGAAUCUGAGGCAACGCAGGCAGUCCUGAUCCUAUGAGUCUCUGGAUAAGGAACAUUGAAGCAUGUGGAUGGGGCCAUGCCGAUGAUCCUUACUACAAGAAGAAUCCUGCUUCAGGUACUAUAUCCAACAGGCUCAGGCAGUUGAUAUGGUGAACAUGACUGACCAGGAGCACACAAAAACUGGUGGUCUGGGAGAGCAGUCACUUGCUGCUAGUUCUCCAGAAUCUCUGCCAUCCAUGGAAACCAAAAGAAUGGAUGCUGAAAUAGUCAACUCCAUGCACUGUCAGAAUAAAUCUGAGCCGAUCUCCCUGGGUCCAAGUUGAUACUACAGUACAUGAGCCCAUAGCUUUCAUCAGAAUCUCAGAAGAGCCCAAGACCCCCCAGAAGGUUAAGAACUUUUGACAUAGAAGCUUAAGGAUUAGAGCAGCUGCAGGGUGGUGAAGUAAUCAGCAAAUCAGGACAUCAUACAGAGUGCUCACCAGUGACAGCCUUCUGUGCAGCCCACAGCUCCCAACUGACACCAUGGAGACCUCACAUCCUACUGAAAUUCUAUCUCUCCUUAAAUCUAUGAGCCUCUUCUCUACUUCCUCUUUGCCUGGUUCCCCCGUGUCACCAUCAUCCUUUUUUGUCUCCCUAGUCUUCUUCUCUUCCUUACUUGCUGUUCUUUCCCUCUCAUGCACACUCUCUUUUCCUUCAUUCCCUGCUGGCCUGAUAAUAUGGAACUGAAGCAUAUUCUUAGUAUACUCAGUACAUUCCA